rnacentral:misc_RNA from 1 species
GAUGAAGAACGUAGCGAAAUGCGAUACUUGGUGUGAAUUGCAGAAUCCCGUGAACCAUCGAGUCUUUGAACGCAAGUUGCGCCCGAAGCCACUAGGCCGAGGGCACGCCUGCCUGGGCGUCACACGUCGUUGCCCCCCCCCCAUCUACUCCUUCGGGAUUGCGGGGGGCGGAUGAUGGCCCCCCGUGCGCCUAGCCGCGCGGUUGGCAUAAAUACCAAGUCCUCGGCGACGCACGCCACGACAAUCGGUGGUUGCGAAACCUCGGUUGCCCGUCGUGUGCGUUCGUCGCGCAUCGAGGGCUCGAAAAAAUGCUCGGCUCCGGCUCGGCUUUCAACGCGACCCCAGGUCAGGCGGGGUUACCCGCUGAAUUUAAGCAUAUCAAUAAGCGGAGGA